GAGGCAGCCUGCUCCGCCGGGACCGAGAGACAACCCCGAGCCGAGGCGCUGGGCCGGUGGCGGAUCGGUUCCAGGGAGGGAGCGCCCGGCCCGGCGCGGGCAGGGCAGAGGGGAGUGGCUGGGGGCAGCCCCACCCACCCGCAGGCUCCCCGCAAGCUGUCCCGGGAGCCGGAAUCCAGAGGCCGGCGGGGCUCCGGCAGACACCUGUUGCCUGUAGGAGGGGGAGCUUCCCCUCCCCGAGGUGAGAGGCGCAUGAUGUGCAAAGCAACCUCCACUCCCCAGCCACGGAGCAGGAAGUGCUGUCCUUUCUGCUGCUCACACCUCAUGGGACUCGCUGCUGCUCAUCACUCACUCCCUUUGGCUUGAAUGUCAGGGAAGUGCAACCCCCAUCUCUUGAGCCUGCUAGAAUGUCUCUACUUACUGCCAUCAUCCCGGCUUUCCGGCAUUCAUGGGUCACCACCCAGCAGAUAGUAGGUCAUAUGAGAAUGUGCUGCAUGGAGUCAGAAGCACAGAGGUACCAUUGGCUGCAUGUGUUCUGGGUAUGAAUUAGGCUCCCUGCGUGCAAUGGGGGUGAAGACAGCUCAGUAUUAAUCACUGGUGACACCAUCUCCUUUUCUACAGCGAACUGGUAGCUGUCCUGAAGUGUUUUCUCAGUUAUCAAACACCAGAGCCUUCUCUUCAAAUCAUCAUCACAGAAAAGCGCCUGAUUGCAUCUAUGAUACAGUUACUCAGAAUGAAUCGAGCUGUAAACUAACCCAACUUGCUUCACAUGUAUUACACUAGCCAUGAUAUGUGUGGCCUGCCCCUGCCUUUCUGCAGCCACUUAGCUUGUUUCACAAUGUGGAGCUGGUAGUCCGAAGUUAUUUUGCCAGUUGGCUUUGCAGUAAGUGAAGAGAAAUAGAGACAGUUGCUGUAUAUGCAACAACCAAGUUAAACAGUUCAGAGUUUAAUAAUAAUAAAUAAUAAUAGUAAUACGAGCUCAAGGCCGAGUCAUUUAAACGCAGCAGAGAAGCUGGCAGCCCCUGAGCUAGUGUUUCCUUUCAGUCAUUUUAGAAGCAUGUUGUCCUUGGAGCAAAUUUACCCCUUGUUCAACACUACUGAAGCCAGUAGUUACACCAGGGAUGAUUCUGGGCUGGCCCUAGUGGUUAGUGAGCACAAGCAGUGUAUGUUUUGUUAUCCUUGGGUAUCUGAUAUGAAGAAACACUGACAGUGUUUGUGAUACUGCAAUUGGUCGCCUUUAGGAGGACAGUAAUGGCAGCUUCUCCCCCAGAUGUGCCUUUUACAGUGAAUAAUAAGGCCCCGUAUGAGAAUGAGUCCAUGAAGUAGUGAAUACACAUCUUGCCCUAGACUUCAGGGCACUCAUUUUCAUUUUGUGCUAGUUUAGCCUAGUCUUGAUUCUCCAUCGCCUUGCACCUUAUAUCAUCAUUUACACUUUUGCAAAAAUGAUGAGGAUUCCCAUAGGUGUGAGUGGAAUAUUCUGAUUUGUUUCAGAGUAGCAGCCGUGUUAGUCUGUAUCCGCAAAAAGAACAGGAGUACUUGUGGUGGGCUGUAGUCCACGAAAGCUCAUGCUCUAAUAAAUUUGUUAGUCUCUAACAAGUACUCCUGUUCUUUACUCUGAUUUGGGAGAUCUCACCUGCUUACAGAGGUGCAAGGGAGAAGGCAUUGGAAAAAAACACCCUUAUUUUUUAAAAAAUAGAGGUUUUGCCAGACUAAGAAAUCUAAAGCAAAGGUCCAGUAUGUAAAUCAAUUAAAAAAAUGUCAUGUAACUUUACAUUUUGCACUGUUAAAGCUACAACAGGCCGGAAAUGUAAAGUUAAGAUUCCAUCAGAAACAUUAACAGUGUAACCUUCAUUAUUAUUUAACAUUUAUAUUACAGUAACACCCAAAGAGGCUUCAGCCGGGAUCAAGGCCUAAUUGCACAAGUAAAUGCAUUCUCUGCCGUGAACAGCUUAGAAUUAGGUUUUGCAGUUACUGUCAAGAGUUUUUUAAAGAAAAAGUGGGAGAGGAAGGGGGAGGGUAGAGGGAAUAAAAAAUCCAUGGCUCCACCAUUUGCAAUGUUUACAAAAUGGGGGAGGGAGAGGAAAAGGGCUGCAUUUCACAGUACAUCUGCAAAAACUCUCAUUGGUGGCAGGUGUGAUAGGUAUGGGUUGUGUUGUAUUGCUAUAGGUGUAGCCAUUGCACUAUGCUUUGAAAAUUUGGCCCCAUGAAUUAAAUUCACAGUUCAAUCCAGAUAUCUAUGGAACAGAAUUCCAGACCUAAGGUCAUGACCGCCCUGUCUUUCCCAUGCUGCCAAACAGGAGGAGAUCCCCAGCUAGAUGGAAUAGGGGGUCCCAAUAUAAAAAGGGUUGAGAACCACUGAUCUAUAGGAUUACAAUCCAGAAGUGACUAUCUAGGCAAAGUUCUCACUGAGAUCAGUGGUGUGUUGCCUGAGAAAGGAUGUCAGGAAUGGAUAUGGUCCAAUAGCAGAAGGUAAUGCUGCAGAUCUGCUUAGCUUAGAUUCUUGCUUUCUUUGUACUCUCCCACUUCACCCACUCCCCCCUCCCACCUGUUACAUCUUCCUCCAUAAUUUAGAGCAUAUUCUCUUUAGAUAUUGUUCAGACACAGACAUGGGCCAAAGGUGAAAAGUUCUAUGUUCUGGGUUGCAGAAUGCACAGACUACAACUCAGCAUAAUGACAAGCAACAGCCAUUGUCCCCAGAACUCAGACACAAGCCAGCACUGCUGUGAAAUAUCGGUCAGUGGAAAGGGCAUGUUUCCAAAGAUGACUUCUCCAGUAACAAGGGGACCACGGUGUUAUUCCAAUUUUACACUAGUGCAACUCUGCUGCUAACAAUGGCAUUACCCCAAGACAGUAAGGAGGGGUGACCCUACUUCUUUUCCAUCUCAAUUCUCAAAAAAGGGACACAGGCAUCUUCUCUCUCCUCAAGAUCUUCCAUGCUGCAGAGCCACUUGCUUCAUGCCAUUUGUUAUAGGAGGGGGUUAGCAGGACAUGCAUUUCAAAAUAAAAUCUUAGAUUUUAAGGCCAGAAGAGACAACUAGAUUGUCUUGUCUGGCCUCCUGCAUAACACAGCCCAGAGAAUUUCAGCCAGGUACCCCGGCACUGAUCCCAACAACUACAUUAAAUACAUCUCAAAUACAAAGGGGGGAAAAGGUGCUUACAUCUGACGUGCUAAAAAACAAUGAAAAUCCAUAUGCUUAAAUAUUUGUUCAAAUGCUCAAUCUGGAAUCCAGUAUCAUAUUUCUUCCCCGUACACAGAAAUCAAACACAACUGCACAUUACGGAGAAGCCAAAAAUGACAACGCAGGGAGGUGCAGUUGCUUUUCCACUCCACUCAAUAACAACACAGGGCUUUUUAAAAGAAUUUUGACAAGUUCUCUACACUGCUAGGAGGAACCAAUGUAAAGGUAAGAGCUAAUCACAGCAGACCCAAGCCAAAGGACAACAGUCGGUUCCAAACUUUCUCAAAGUUUGCAGGUGCUCAGCUCAAGAGUUUUUGUCCAGGCCCUCUGGCAUAUUCUGCCUUGUGUCAUUCUAAUCUAAGCAAGACUAAAGCCAUUUCCCCACUUUGCACACUGAUGCUGAGCAAGCAAAAACUAGCACGUGAAUGUGGUCCAAAUACAUUAAUCCAAGCAAAGGCUAAGCCUGUUAGAAAAGGUUUAUAAACAGGUCACAGAGGAAGUACAGAAAUUGCCCACACCAGAAUUAUAACUCCAAAUGACUGGCUUUUCACACCUGACCUCAAAUACCCCUGCAAAAUAAAUUCCCGAUCAGCUCAGGCAGGAUAGCUCUUUUCCUCUUUAUCAAACAGCCAAAAAAAAAAAAAAAAAAA